rnacentral:rRNA from 1 species
GUGUCCGCAAGGGCUCUAUACAGGUGGUGCAUGGUUGUCGUCAGCUCGUGUCGUGAGAUGUUGGGUUAAGUCCCGCAACGAGCGCAACCCUCGUUCUGUGUUGCCAGCAUUUAGUUGGGGACUCACAGGAGACUGCCGGGGUUAACUCGGAGGAAGGUGGGGAUGACGUCAAAUCAUCAUGCCCCUUAUGUCUUGGGCUGCACGCAUGCUACAAUGGCCGAUACAAAGGGCUGCGAUACCGCAAGGUGGAGCGAAUCCCAAAAAGUCGGUCUCAGUUCGGAUUGAGGUCUGCAACUCGACCUCAUGAAGUCGGAGUUGCUAGUAAUCGUAGAUCAGCAACGCUACGGUGAAUACGUUCCCGGGUCU